rnacentral:lncRNA from 10 species
GAAAAUCUCUGAAGCAGACACCCAAAUCAGAGCCGAGCUUUGCCGUGACUCUCCAGAAGCUGAUGGGCCUGGUGUUUGAACUGAGCCUGUCAACAUGUGGAAAACACAGAGUGAAUGAUGACCUUCCUGCUCACAGCUCCUUAGCACUACAACCUGCCUUCUUUGAUCCUGAAACUAGCAGCUACUGGACAGGCAAGAGGACAAACAGAAGGUUUUCUUCCAGCUGGAAGACUGGACCUCUGUAUUUUCACCAUGCACAGGAGGCAAAUCUAUUCUUUGUUUAUCCAUUCUCCAACUGGAUGCUUUAGAAACCAGAAGCAAUUAGAAUGCCUGACCUGAACCAUGGUACCAGAGUAUGCAAACUUCACUUUCAGAAUGCUAACUCCAAAUAAACAAAUAAACUCAGCCAAUAAACAAACAAACAAAUUUGACAGUUUCCUCAUGCAAGGUGUAGCAGCCUUUAUAACACUUAUGCUGUUGCUUUAACUUGUGUUACUAGGGAUUUGUUUCUGCCUUACUUUAUUUUCUUCAGUAAUUGCAUUAUGCAGUUAAGCAUUUUAUUGUUUAUUAGGGUUUUUAUUUCAUUUUGUUAUUUGUCUGCAUUUAUUGUCCUGUCCACUAGCAUAUCUAGAUAAUACUUGGCAAAGAUUCAUGUAUUAUAUAUGAAAAAGAGUCGUGUGUGUGUCUGUGUGUGUGUGUGUGUGUGUGUGUGUGUGUGAUGUUUGUCACUUUAAGGAGAAAUGUAACCCAUGAUACAGAGAUCUCUCCAUACUAGAUGCAAUUAAACCUAUUAAAUAUUAAAUGAGGAGAUUGAGAAUUUCAAGUGAUUUUCAUCCUUUAUUCCAAAGUGACUUCAUUUGGCAAGAAUGCCCUUUGCUUUGACAGCAUUAAUGGCUCUCGCAGAAAAGAAGAAAAGGAAAAAUUCACAGGCACUAUUUGGAAAUGUAGCUCCAAUGUCCAUCUACAUUAAGGCAGUGUUAGCUUAGUGGUGAAUAUCUAGAUGUACCUAAACUUAGCAAAAUAGUGUCUAAGUUCCAAUUUAUGCCAUUUGCUAAUUAUAGACUAAGCCCAAAUUAUAUUCUCUUCCUAUUUUGCAGCUUUCUUAUUUUAUUCUGAAUUAGCAAAAUUUUUCAACAAUCAAUGGACAUAGCACCUGAGCAAGGGAAGGACAAAAAUGCUGGUGCAACAACUGUAAUCCAAAACAUUCCAGGGCAAGCGCUUUUGGAUUCCUGAGUUUGUCUGUCGGAGAUCUGGAACUGUGUGCAGGUUCAUUACACGGGGUUAUUUGACAAUUUAGCAGUAAGAAAUCUUGACAUUUUGAUGUACCUGUAACUUCUAAAUUGCACUUGAAAGACUUGUUGAAGGCUUUUUGAUUUAAUGACACACAACAUAGCAUUGUUUCAUAAUAUGCAAAAAUUGUUUGUUAACUACACUGCAGCUCAGAAUUUUAUAACUCAAGGUGUGACUACACUGUUUUCCACCUCAUGUUUGAUCUGCCAAA